AUGAGCAAAGUGAAUUCUUAUUUCUUAACAGAGAUGACGAUUAUAUGCUUUUAUUGUGUAGGAUCUCUGUUGCCUGUACACGAUCCUGAGAAAUUUGGAGGCCUUCAUACUUCUGUAAGAACCGGAUUAGGUGGUUCUUAUAGCUUUAUAGAGAUGAUUAGUGGUGUACUUGUGUGUGUAUUUUCCUUUUUCAAAGAUUUGUUGUCUCUGAAUACUGUAGUUAUUCAUCUUCAAUAUCAUCCCUGGAGUUUUGUCAAACUAGGCAACAUUGGUUGUACUUGGUUUGUGUUUUCUCUUUGUAAUAAUAAAGUGCAUUGGCUAGGCGUGUCACAUUAA
rnacentral:rRNA from 1 species